GCGCCUAAUGCAUGCAAGUCGAACGGGCAAUGGGGCUUCCGCCCCGGGGCUAGUGGCAGACGGCUGAGUAACACGUAAGUAAUCUGCCCCGGAGCGGGGGAUAAUCCGGAGAAAUCCGGCCUAAUACCCCGUACGUUCAUGUGGCUACGACCAUAUGAAGAAGGGCUUCGGCCGCUCUGGGAGGAGCUUGCGGCCUAUCAGGUAGUUGGCGGGGUAAUAGCCCACCAAGCCGAAGACGGGUAGCCGAUGUGAGAGCAUGAUCGGUCAGAGGGGGACUGAGACACGGCCCCCACUCCUACGGGAGGCAGCAGCAGGGAAUCUUGCGCAAUGGGCGAAAGCCUGACGCAGCGACACCGCGUGGGGGAAGAAGGCCUCAGGGUUGUAAACCCCUUUUCUGGGGGAAGAGAUAGGACGGUACCUCAGGAAUAAGCAUCGGCUAACUACGUGCCAGCAGCCGCGGUAAUACGUAGGAUGCAAGCGUUGUCCGGAUUUACUGGGCGUAAAGGGUGUGUAGGCGGCAUGGUAAGUCUCAUGUGAAAUCUCCCGGCUCAACCGGGAGGGGUCAUGGGAUACUGCCAAGCUGGAGGGCAGCAGAGGAAAGCGGAAUUCCGGGAGUAGUGGUGGAAUGCGUAGAUACCCGGAGGAACACCAGAGGCGAAGGCGGCUUUCUGGGCUGUACCUGACGCUGAGACACGAAAGCGUGGGGAGCAAACCGGAUUAGAUACCCGGGUAGUCCACGCCCUAAACGAUGGAUACUAGAUAUAGGGGGUAUCGACCCUCCCUGUGUCGGAGUUAACGCGAUAAGUAUCCCGCCUGGGGAGUACGGCCGCAAGGCUAAAACU
rnacentral:rRNA from 1 species